rnacentral:rRNA from 1 species
AUUGAACGCUGGCGGCAGGCCUAACACAUGCAAGUCGAACGGUAGCACGAAAAGGCUUGCUUCUUCCCUGACGAGUGUCGCGGGGGUGAGUGAUGUAUGUCGAACUGCCUGAUUGAGGGGGGGAACUAGUGGAAACGGUAACUAUUAUACCAUAUCGUCGCAAGACCAAAGAGCAGGACAUUCUGGCCUCUUGCCAUCGGAUGUGCGCCGAUGGGAUUAGCUUGUUGGUGGGGUAAAGGCUCACCAAGGCGACGAUCCCUAGCUGGUCUGAGAGGAUGACCAGCCACACUGGAACUGAGACACGGUCCAGACUCCUACGGGAGGCAGCAGUGGGGAAUAUUGCACAAUGGGCGCAAGCCUGAUGCAGCCAUGCCGCGUGUAUGAAGAAGGCCUUCGGGUUGUAAAGUACUUUCAGCGGGGAGGAAGGGAGUAAAGUUAAUACCUCUGCUCAUUGACGUUACCCGCAGAAGAAGCACCGGCUAACUCCGUG